rnacentral:sRNA from 1 species
GCAUUUGUGUCACCUUUCUGGAUCUGUCUCAGUCUCCUCUGUCUCUAGGUGUCUGUGUAUCUUGUGUGUGUGUGAAUAUUUCCAACUCCCUCAAUCUACCUUUUCCCCUCUCUUGUCUCCCUCUCAGGGCAGGGUGCCAUUUGCCGUGCCUGACAAAGUGCUGUGGCCGCAGCUGUGUGAGGCGCUCAACAUGAAAUUCAAGGCCGAAGUGCAGAGCAACCGGGGCCUGACCAAGGAGAACCUCGUGUUCCUAGCACAGAAACUGUUCAACAACAGCAGCAGCCACCUGGAGGACUACAGUGGCCUGUCCGUGUCCUGGUCCCAGUUCAACAGGGAGAACUUGCCGGGCUGGAACUACACCUUCUGGCAGUGGUUUGACGGGGUGAUGGAGGUGUUGAAGAAGCACCACAAGCCCCACUGGAAUGAUGGGGCCAUCCUAGGUUUUGUGAAUAAGCAACAGGCCCACGACCUGCUCAUCAACAAGCCCGAUGGGACCUUCUUGUUGCGCUUUAGUGACUCAGAAAUCGGGGGCAUCACCAUCGCCUGGAAGUUUGACUCCCCGGAACGCAACCUGUGGAACCUGAAACCAUUCACCACGCGGGAUUUCUCCAUCAGGUCCCUGGCUGACCGGCUGGGGGACCUGAGCUAUCUCAUCUAUGUGUUUCCUGACCGCCCCAAGGAUGAGGUCUUCUCCAAGUACUACACUCCUGUGCUGGCUAAAGCUGUUGAUGGAUAUGUGAAACCACAGAUCAAGCAAGUGGUCCCUGAGUUUGUGAACGCAUCUGCAGAUGCUGGGGGCAGCAGCGCCACGUACAUGGACCAGGCCCCCUCCCCAGCUGUGUGCCCCCAGGCUCCCUAUAACAUGUACCCACAGAACCCUGACCAUGUACUCG